rnacentral:sRNA from 1 species
GAUACUCAGCGCAGCCUUCCAGAGCUAGUCAGACUGGAGGAGGGGACCUGGGAAGCUCUGGAGCUCCCUGGUGACAGUCUGUGGCUGAGCAUGGCCCUCCCAGCCCUGGGCCUGGACCCCUGGAGCCUCCUGGGCCUUUUCCUCUUCCAACUGCUUCAGCUGCUGCUGCCGACGACGACCGCGGGGGGAGGCGGGCAGGGGCCCAUGCCCAGGGUCAGAUACUAUGCAGGUAAGUGUCCGACGGCAGGAAGUGUGGGGAUAGCAAUAGAGAGCUGGAGGUGGGUGGAGGAAGGAGAGAGGAACAGAGGAGGGGAGGAAAUGGAUGUGGAGAAACAGGGACACAGAGAGAGAUGCCAGGGAGAAACAGAGGAUUUCGGAGAAAGAGAGACACAGCCAGAAACAGAAGUCCAAAAGGAAAGAAAAGCCACUGGAGAGCAGAUUGAGGAAAACAGGUGGCCACGGGGCCAGGGGCACGCUUCUUCCAGUUCUCCAUGUUGGGGAUGAACGUAGGGCACUUAGCUUCUUCCACCAGAAGGGCCUCCAGGAUUUUGACACUCUGCUCCUGAGUGGUGAUGGAAAUACUCUCUACGUGGGGGCUCGAGAAGCCAUUCUGGCCUUGGAUAUCCAGGAUCCAGGGGUCCCCAGGCUAAAGAACAUG